rnacentral:ribozyme from 13 species
CAAAGAGUGAUAAGCCUUCUUCAGAAUUCAUUUUCUCCUCUUCUCCUUUUUUUUUCCUUUCUCUUUCUCCCAAAAAAUCUCUCUCUAAAAGAGAAAA